rnacentral:rRNA from 1 species
UACAGAGGGGGCAAGCGUUAUUCGGAAUUAUUGGGCGUAAAGGGCGCGUAGGCGGCUUUGCAAGUGACGGGUGAAAGCCCUCGGCUUAACCGAGGAACUGCCUGUCAGACUGUAAGGCUUGAGACCGGGAGAGGUGAGUGGAAUUCCCAGUGUAGCGGUGAAAUGCGUAGAUAUUGGGAGGAACACCAGUGGCGAAGGCGGCUACCUGGACCGGAACUGACGCUGAGGCGCGAAAGCGUGGGUAGCAAACAGG